UACAGAGGUCUCAAGCGUUGUUCGGAUUCAUUGGGCGUAAAGGGUGCGUAGGCGGCGCGGUAAGUCGGGUGUGAAAUCUCGGAGCUUAACUCCGAAACUGCAUUCGAUACUGCCGUGCUUGAGUACUUAAGAGGAUCGCGGAAUUCCCGGUGUAGAGGUGAAAUUCGUAGAUAUCGGGAGGAACACCAGUGGCGAAGGCGGCGAUCGUGGGAAGAUACUGACGCUGAGGUGCGAAAGCGUGGGAGCAACAGG
rnacentral:rRNA from 1 species